rnacentral:ncRNA from 1 species
CAGGCGGCAUCUUGCGCUCUUAAUGCCAAAAGUAUGUAUUUAAAAGUGGAAGUUGCCGUUCUCGGACGAAUUUUGUGUAAUUCUGUAUCGGUGGUAGUAUUUCUUCCAUAGAUAUUAUCUCUUACUAAAUCACAACCAAUCGGUGGCAGACUUUAUACUUGUCAUCGUACGCCUUGGAGACUCUGGAUAACUUUUUGUUGAUCGCACGGUCUUACAUAUGCGACGCAUCUUUCAAAUGUCUGCCUUAUCAACUUUCGAUGAUUGGCUCUGCGCCUACCAUAGUUUUAACGGGUAACGAGAAAUCAGGAUCCGAUUCCGACGAAGAAACCUGAGAAACAGCUACCACAUCCAAGGAAGACAGCAAGCGCGCAAAUUACCCAUUCCUGGUACGGGGAGGUAGUAACGAAAAAUAACGAUAUGGGACUUAUCCGAGACCCCGUAAUCGGAAUGAGUACACUCUAAACCCUUUAACGAGGUUCAAGUCUGAUGUCAGCAGCCGUGGUAAUUCCGGCUCCAACAGCUCCAACAUUAAAGUUGUUGCGAUUUAAAAGUUAAGUCUGAUGUCAGCAGCCGUGGUAAUUCCGGCUCCAACAUUAAAGUUGUUGCGGUUUAAAAGUUCGUAGUCGAAUUUGUGUCCCGCGCCGCCGGUUCAUCGCUCGCGGUAUUUAACUGGCGAGUCCGCGGGACGUCCUGCCGGUGGACUCGGCCCUUUUGGGGGCGGUCCGUUUUCAAAUCCCGCCGCGGUGCUCUUUACCGAGUAUCGAGGUGACCCGGCACGUUUACGAAUAAUAGAAUAGGACCUCAACCUUUGUUGUUAAUGAUUGAUUAAUUAAUUAAGGAACAGGUAUGGCAUUCGUAUUGCGACGUUAGAGGUGAUAUUCUUGAAUCGUCGCAAGGCAGACGGAAGCGAAAGCAUUUGCCAAAAAAUGCUUUCAUUGAUCAAGAGCGAAAGUUAGAGGUUCGAAGAAGAUCGGAUAUCGUCCUAGUUCUAACCAUAAACGAUGCCAGCUAGCGAUCCGCCGACAUUCCUCCGAUGACUGAGCGGGCAGGUUCCGGGAAACCAAAGCCGGGGAAG